rnacentral:rRNA from 1 species
GGCGCUUCACACCCACCUAGAGGAGCCUGUUCUAGAACCGAUGACCCCCGUUCAACCUCACCUUUUCUUGUUCCUCCCGCCUAUAUACCGCCGUCGUCAGCUCACCCUGUGAAGGCCCUAACAGUGAGCAAAACUGGCAUAGCCCAAAACGUCAGGUCGAGGUGUAGCGCACGGAAAGGGAAGAAAUGGGCUACAAUUGCUUAAACAGCUAACACGAAUUGAGUCGCUGAAACGCACACAUGAAGGAGGAUUUAGAAGUAAGAGGGUAAGUAGAGCGUCCCUCUGAAAUGGUUCUGAAGCGUGCACACACCGCCCGUCACCCUCCCCAAGUUACCCAGAGAACUGAAGUAAUUAAAAACUUACAACAACAAAGGGGAGGCAAGUCGUAACAUGGUAAGUGUACCGGAAGGUGCACUUGGUUUAAAU